AAUAUGUGACUCUCUCUGCCUUCCUUCCUCUACCUACUGAACUGUCAAGAUAAUGAAAUGACUUUAUGCCUUUGCAAUUGCUUUGUUUUCAUUUUUAGCCGAAUAUGACUAAUUACUGAAAAUACUGAUUCCAGCAGCAACUCCUUGUUCUUUUUGGUUUUCAGUAGAUACCCCAAAUGGUUAAACUGGGUUGAAUGACAAUUUUAUGUUACCAACACUGGCUAAUGUCCUUUGUGUGAUUACUAUUAUAAUCAUGUGCUUGUGCCCUGUCAAUGGUCCGAGUUUGAAGUCCAUCUUGGAUGUACCAUAUCCAUACUAAAAGAGCUGUCUAAUUAAUCUGGUUUUGUAAUUUUUUUAUACAUGUAUGUGAAAGAUUCAAAUUAAUGGGUGUCAAAUUAAUAGGUGCAAAUACAGGUUUAAUCAUUAAGUCACUUUGGACAUUUUUUAUAUCCCCAAAAAAUAGCAAAUUAUCUUUACUUUGUCCGCAAAGACAUGUAUUUCUUGUGUCAACUUUGGACAACUCAUGUUACAGAAUAACUAUGGCCUUCAAACUGGACGAAAAGUCUCGGUUCAGGAGCAGGUUGCAAUAUUUUUGUGUAUUGUUGGCGGUGACAUUCGAAACAGAAAUGUCCGAGAAAGAUUUCAACAUUCUGGUGAAACGAUUUCAAAAUACUUCAAGAAUGUGUUUAAAGCUGUUACAAUGAUGUCUAUUGAUUAGGAUUGUAUUAGAGCAAUUGAUGGAACAUACAUCAAAGCAUAUAUAUCUCCAGAUAAACAAUCUCGUUAAAUAGGUAAAAAAGGUAUGUGACUCAAAACAUAAUGACUGCAUGUGACUUUGAUACGUGUUUCACAUUUUGCUUACUAUAAUAGGAAUGAAGUGCACACGAUACUCGGAUACACGGCUAUUUUCUAUUUGAUUGCCACAGUAGAUGCACCAUACUCAUAUCUUCAUAUUUAUUUUUACAUUUAUAAUUGCUUACUUUAUUUUAUUAAUAUUUGAAAUUUUAAAAUAGGUGAGUUUUACUUGUUGGAUGCUGGGUAUCUAAACAUGAAACGAUAUCUUACACUUUACAAAGGAGAGAGAUACCAUCUAGCUGAAUUUGAGCAUGGUUAAACCCCCUAAAAUGCACAAGAAAAAUUCAUCCAAGCACAUUCAUCACUUAGAAGUGUAAUAGAAAGAACGUUUGGGGUUUGGAAAGCAAGAUGACUGAUGAUAAAGGAUAUCCCACUAAACUACAAGUGGUCAACCCAAGUCAAACUUGUUUGUGCAAUAAUGGCAAUUCAUAAUUUCAUCCAGCGAAGUGAGUUCCGCGAUAUGUCAUUUGACUCUUAUGAUAGAUUUACGAAUUAUGUGCCUAAUGAAGAGGAAGGAUCUUUGUCUCAAUAAACACGACAUGGAAAUCAUGUUGCAGGUGAUGACAAUGAGAUGGAAGUGAGGAGACAUAAUAUUUGUAUGUCAAUUUGCAGACGAAAUUAGAAGUUCUUUAAAUAUCUAGAAAGUUUUAUUUUUAUUGUCUUAAUUGUAAUUUAUUGUAUUUUUAUUGCAAUGACAUUUUCUUA